rnacentral:rRNA from 1 species
GAAAUUCUAGCCACGNNCGAGUUUANGCUAUUCAACAUGGGCUCGUGUUGGUUUUNUAGAUCUAACACUGGCCGGCGUUCGUUUUACAUGCCUUACACAUGCAAGUCGAACGGCAGCACGGACUUCGGUCUGGUGGCGAGUGGCGAACGGGUGAGUAAUGUAUCGGAACGUGCCCAGUAGCGGGGGAUAACUACGCGAAAGCGUAGCUAAUACCAGCAUACAGCCCUACAGUGAGGAGAAAAGCAAGAGGAGAUCAGCAAGACCUUGCACUAUUGAGAAGCNGAGCCUGAUAUCGGAUUAGCUAGUUUGGUAGAGGAGUAACGAGCUCACCAAGGCGACAGAUCCAGUAGCUAGGUUUGAAGAGGACAGACCAGCUCACACUGGGACUUGAGACACGUGCNCCAGACUCCUACGGGAAAGCAGCAAGUGGGGAAUUUUUGGACAAUGGGGUGAAACCCUGAUCCAGCCAUCCCUGCGUGUGCGAUGAAUGGGCCUUCGGGUUGUAAGGCACUUUUGGCAGGAAAGAAACGUCAUGGGUUAAUACCCCGUGAAACUGACGGUACCUGCAGAGUAAGCACCGGCUAACUACGUGCCAGCAGCCGCGGUAAUACGUAGGGUGCAAGCGUUAAUCGGAAU